CUUGUAUUAUAAAAGGAUUCCUCCGAAGAUGAAUGGCUCUCACCAGCAACUCACAAUGAGAAUAAAGAUCCAGAGUCUCUGUCUCGUAACCCUGCUCUUCAUCUUAGCUGAUUCAUCUCAGCCACCAUUCUCAUGUGAUUCGUCCAAUCCAUCAACCAAAUCCUACCCCUUUUGCCAAACCUCACUCCCCAUAAGCCAAAGAGUCCAAGACCUUGUAUCUAGGCUCACAUUGGAUGAGAAGAUCUCCCAACUUGUGGACACUGCGCCUGCCAUUCCCAGGUUCGGCAUCCCCGCCUACGAGUGGUGGUCUGAAGCUUUACAUGGUGUUGCGUUCCUUCCUGAGGUCAGCCAAAGGCAAGGCAUCCAUUUCAAUGGCACCAUCAAGUCCGCCACUAGCUUCCCUCAAGUCAUUCUCACUGCUGCCUCAUUUGAUGCCUAUCUUUGGUAUAGCAUUGGUCAAGUGACUGGAAUAGAAGCCAGAGCAAUAUACAAUGCUGGACAAGCUAUUGGCAUGACUUUUUGGGCACCAAACAUCAAUAUAUUCAGGGAUCCAAGAUGGGGGAGAGGGCAAGAGACACCUGGAGAAGAUCCAUUGGUUACAGGGAAGUAUGCAGUGUCGUUUGUGAGAGGCGUUCAAGGGGACUCUUUUCAAGGAGGGGUUCUUGGGGAGCAACUUCAGGCAUCAGCUUGCUGCAAGCAUUUUACUGCUUAUGAUUUGGAUAAAUGGAAUGGCACAAAUAGAUUCAUUUUUAACGCUCAAGUCACGUUGCAAGACUUAGCUGACACAUAUCAGCCUCCAUUUCGAAGUUGCAUACAAGAAGGGAAAGCUAGUGGGAUAAUGUGUGCUUAUAAUCAAGUCAAUGGAGUCCCAAAUUGUGCAGAUUACAAUCUUUUAUCUAAGACUGCUAGAGGACAGUGGAACUUCAAUGGGUACAUCACAUCUGACUGUGAUGCGGUUUCCAUCAUCUUCGAUGAUCAGGGAUAUGCUAAAUCGCCAGAAGAUGCAGUUGCAGAUGUGCUUAAAGCUGGGAUGGAUGUCAACUGUGGUGAUUAUUUGAAGAAAUACACGAAAUCAGCAGUAGAAAAGAAGAAACUGACAGAAUCUGAUAUAGAUAGAGCACUUCAAAAUCUCUUCUCCAUUAGGAUGAGGCUGGGACUAUUCAAUGGCAAUCCAGCUAAACUGCCUUAUGGUAAAAUUGGUUCAGAUCAAGUUUGUUCUCAAAAGCAUCAGGCUCUGGCCCUUGAAGCAGCUCGAGAUGGCAUUGUCUUGCUAAAGAACUCUGAUCAACUUCUCCCUCUUUCAAAAUCAAAAACCACGUCCCUUGCAGUUAUUGGCCCUAAUGCUCAUAAUUCAACUAUUCUUCUAGGAAAUUAUGCAGGUCCCCCGUGCAAAGCCGUAACACCAUUGCAAGGAUUGAAGAGUUAUAUUAAGAACACUAGAUAUCACCCAGGUUGCAGCACAGUUGCAUGUUCCUCAGCUGCAAUUUACGAAGCAGUAAAAUUGGCAAAAGAAGCAGACCAAGUGGUAUUGGUUAUGGGACUUGAUCAAACUCAAGAAACAGAAGAACACGAUCGAGUGGACUUGAUACUCCCUGGGAAUCAGCAGAAGUUGAUAACCAGUGUUGCACGAGCUGCAAAGAAACCUGUUGUUUUGGUGCUUCUUUGUGGAGGACCAGUAGACAUAUCUUUCGCCAAAUAUGAUAAGAACAUUGGAAGCAUUUUGUGGGCUGGUUAUCCAGGUGAAGCUGGAGGAAUUGCACUUGCAGAAAUCAUCUUUGGUGAUCACAAUCCAGGAGGGAGAUUACCAAUGACUUGGUAUCCACAAGAGUUCACCAAGGUGCCAAUGACAGACAUGAGGAUGCGGCCUCAACCAUCUUCAGGCUACCCUGGCCGCACUUACAGAUUCUACAAAGGCAAAAAGGUUUUUGAAUUUGGUCACGGUCUAAGUUAUUCAAACUAUACUUAUGAGCUUGUCUCUCCUACACAAAACAAUAUCCACUUGACAUCAUUUGUUGAUAAAAUGGUUCGAAACUCAAACCCCAUAAGUUACAGAGCAAUUUCAGAGUUAGGCACAGAACUCUGUGAAAAGAGCAAGUUUUCAGUUAUCGUGAGAGUUAAAAACCAGGGAAUGAUGUCAGGCAAGCAUCCAGUAUUGCUAUUUCUGAAGCAACCAAAGCUUGGAGAAGGUAGGCCAAUGAAAAAGUUGAUUGGAUUCCAAAGUGUGAAACUUAAUGCAGGGGAGAGUGGUGAAAUUGAAUAUAAGCUAAGCCCUUGUGAGCACCUUAGCAGAGCCAAUGAAGAAGGCUUAAUGGUGAUUGAUGAAGGGUCUCAAUUCUUGCUUGUGGGAGGCAGAGAAUAUCCAAUUAAUAUAACUAUUUGAUGCUAAUAAAAGAUUUUCCAAACAUAAUGGGAGACUAGAAUCCUGUUCCACCAUAAAGUUUGGAUCCAUCAGUGGAAUCCAAUUUCAGGCAGAGAACCGAGUAGGAUUGGCUAAUAAAGCAUCCACUGCGCUGCGCAAAACCUGCAUGGACCAUAAAGCUGGCUCCACUCUUAUCCUAUCCAAAGCAAAACACCAAAACUCUUCUCGGAAUUAUAAAUAAAAC